rfam:Camelus ferus unplaced genomic scaffold scaffold852, whole genome shotgun sequence.
GAGGGUGUAGCUCAGUGGUAGAGUACAUGCUUAGCAUGCAUGAGGGCCUGGGUUCAACCUCCAGUACCUCCA